UUGAACGCUGGCGGCAGGCCUAACACAUGCAAGUCGAGCGGAUGAAGGGAGCUUGCUCCUGGAUUCAGCGGCGGACGGGUGAGUAAUGCCUAGGAAUCUGCCUGGUAGUGGGGGAUAACGUCCGGAAACGGGCGCUAAUACCGCAUACGUCCUGAGGGAGAAAGUGGGGGAUCUUCGGACCUCACGCUAUCAGAUGAGCCUAGGUCGGAUUAGCUAGUUGGUGGGGUAAAGGCCUACCAAGGCGACGAUCCGUAACUGGUCUGAGAGGAUGAUCAGUCACACUGGAACUGAGACACGGUCCAGACUCAUACGGGAGGCAGCAGUGGGGAAUAUUGGAAAAUGGGCGAAAGCCUGAUCCAGCCAUGCCGCGUGUGGGAAGAAGGUCUUCGGAUUGUAAAGCACUUUAAGUUGGGAGGAAGGGAAGUAAGUUAAUACCUUGCUGUUUUGACGUUACCAACAGAAUAAGCACCGGCUAACUUCGUG
rnacentral:rRNA from 1 species